UACGUAGGCAGCGAGCGUUGUUCGGAAUUACUGGGCGUAAAGAGUGUGUAGGCGGUGUUCCAAGUUCGGUGUGAAAUCUCCCGCUUAACUGGGAGGGUGCGCCGAAAACUGGAAUGCUCGAGCGUGGGAGAGGAAAGCGGAAGUUCUGGUGUAGCGGUGAAAUGCGUAGAUAUCAGGAGGAACACCAGCGGUGUAGACGCUUUCUGGACCAUUGCUGACGCUGAGACACGAAAGCGUGGGUAGCAAACAGG
rnacentral:rRNA from 1 species